GGAAGUUAAUUUAAUCCUUGGAGUUUUAUAUGUGUACUCACUAUCUUAAAUGGUAUGUUUUUUUUUUUUUUUUGAGAUAUGGUCUCACUGUGUAGUUCAGAUUGGCCUUGAACUCACUAUAUAGCCCAGGCUGACUUCAAACUCACAGCGAUCCUCCUGCCUCAGUCUCAGAUUUGAGUUUUCUCUUUAACUUGAGUUACUUAGAAGCAUCAGUAUUUAUUCUAAUAGUUUAAAUUUGAAAUGUUCCCUAAAGGCCCUGAGUUAAAGGCUUGGCACUCAGCUUGGUGCUAUUGUGGGGGCAGGGGUGGUUAUGGAAUCGUUAAGAGAAAAAACCUUAGUGGGAGAUUUUAGAUCAUUUGGGGGCAUGUGUUUGAAGGACAUUGUUGGAUGCCAGUCUUUUCUCUCGUUUCCUAGCCAUUCAAUGAACAGGUUUCCUUUGCCAUAUCCUCCUGUCACAAUGUACUUCCUUGCCCCGGGCCCAGAAGUAACAAGACCAACUGACCAUGGACUGAAACCUCCAAAACUGAUCAAACUCAGGACCUUGUGCUUGCAAGGCAGGCAGCAGAGCCACUGAGCCAAAUCCCCAGUCCCUUCCUCUUUCCCUUUUAAGCUGUGUAUGUCAGACCAUUGGAGGGAAGUAAAUAGUUGUCAGUUAUCAGCAGUAAAUCCCGAUGUCAACAAGUUUCAAGAUGAAGUCCUACAAAACAGGAAGAGAACUUAUCAAGUAAGUAUUCAUGGGGUACCUCCUGCUUAUUUAAAAUGCUUUGUUAACUAUAGGACACUUUACAGGUAUGAGAUAGCCUCAUUACUGUGGUAACUACUAACUAGAAUCAUUAAUGCUAGUCCUAUAAAAGUAUAAAAAUCUGUACUGUCUAGCUUAGAACAGUGAUAAAACAGGUACAGAUUGGAUAAAGCUCCCAGAGAACAUAUAACAAUGUUAGGUUUAUGAACUUGCUGUAACAAUUAACAUGAGGAACCAGGGCCCUCUCCUAUGAGGAAAUAAGGGAUUUUUAAAGGGGUUGGAAUGAUUCUAAACCUCGUAUCUUGAGGUACUAGGGUUGUGGGGAUCACUUGUGGA
rnacentral:lncRNA from 1 species